GAUGAACGCUGGCGGCGUGCCUAAUACAUGCAAGUCGAGCGAACGGACGAGAAGCUUGCUUCUCUGAUGUUAGCGGCGGACGGGUGAGUAACACGUGGAUAACCUACCUAUAAGACUGGGAUAACUUCGGGAAACCGGAGCUAAUACCGGAUAAUAUUUUGAACCGCAUGGUUCAAAAGUGAAAGACGGUCUUGCUGUCACUUAUAGAUGGAUCCGCGCUGCAUUAGCUAGUUGGUAAGGUAACGGCUUACCAAGGCAACGAUGCGUAGCCGACCUGAGAGGGUGAUCGGCCACACUGGAACUGAGACACGGUCCAGACUCCUACGGGAGGCAGCAGUAGGGAAUCUUCCGCAAUGGGCGAAAGCCUGACGGAGCAACGCCGCGUGAGUGAUGAAGGUCUUCGGAUCGUAAAACUCUGUUAUUAGGGAAGAACAAAUGUGUAAGUAACUAUGCACAUCUUGACGGUACCUAAUCAGAAAGCCACGGCUAACUACGUG
rnacentral:rRNA from 1 species